rnacentral:rRNA from 1 species
UUAGCUUGUUGGCGGGGUAACGGCCCACCAAGGCUACGAUCAGUAGGGGUUCUGAGAGGAAGGUCCCCCACAUUGGAACUGAGACACGGUCCAAACUCCUACGGGAGGCAGCAGUGAGGAAUAUAGGUCAAUGGACGAGAGUUUGAACCAGCCAAGUAGCGUGCAGGAAGACGGCCCUAUGGGUUGUAAACUGCUUUUAUAAGGGAAUAAAGUGAGUCUCGUGAGACUUUUUGCAUGUACCUUAUGAAUAAGGACCGGCUAAUUCCGUGCCAGCAGCCGCGGUAAUACGGAAGGUCCGGGCGUUAUCCGGAUUUAUUGGGUUUAAAGGGAGCGUAGGCCGGAGAUUAAGCGUGUUGUGAAAUGUAGACGCUCAACGUCUGCACUGCAGCGCGAACUGGUUUCCUUGAGUACGCACAAAAGUGGGCGGAAUUCGUGGUGUAGCGGUGAAAAUGCUUAGAUAUCACGAAGAACUCCGAUUGCGAAGGCAGCUCACUGGAGCGCAACUGACGCUGAAAGCUCGAAAGUGCGGGUAUCGAACGGGAUUAGAUACCCUGGUAGUCCGCAC